rnacentral:rRNA from 1 species
UACGUAGGGUGCAAGCGUUAAUCGGAAUUACUGGGCGUAAAGCGUGCGCAGGCGGUUUUGUAAGUCUGUCGUGAAAUCCCCGGGCUCAACCUGGGAAUUGCGAUGGAGACUGCAAGGCUAGAAUCUGGCAGAGGGGGGUAGAAUUCCACGUGUAGCAGUGAAAUGCGUAGAGAUGUGGAGGAACACCAGUGGCGAAGGCGGCUCACUGGCCCGGUAUGACGCUGAGGUGCGGAAAGCGUGGGGAGCAAACAGG